rnacentral:sRNA from 1 species
GCUGGAAGCGAUGGCUCACGCCUGUAAUCCCAGUGACCCAGGAGGCUGAGGCAGGAGGAUCUCGAGUUCAAAGCCAGCCUCAGCAAAAUCAAGGCACUAGGCAACUCAGUGAGAUCCUGUCUCUA